CAUGCACAUGAGCACGCAGAUUGGUAUGCUCAAUGAUGCAUGUAUGCUCCUUAGAGUUUUCUACUUGUAUCCAAAUGUUUUGGAGGCAAAAUGCCUUUCCUAGCAUGCAUCCAAACAUGCCCACAAUCAUAUUAACCGGACCACUUGCUCGAACGAAAAGCAGGCGACAGGCGAUCUUCUUUGUGGAGUCAGUUGCCACAAUGGUCGAUGCUGCGGAUAUGGUGAGA